rnacentral:rRNA from 1 species
UGGUGGAGCGAUUUGUCUGGUUAAUUCCGAUAACGAACGAGACUCUGGCCUGCUAACUAGCCGCCGGAUCCGAGCGAGUCCGGCACGCUUCUGGCUUCUUAGAGGGACAGGCGGCGUCCAGCCGCACGAGAUUGAGCAAUAACA